AUUCUGACCGCAGAGAGGAGGGGGCGCUUUACUCGGGCGCGUCGUACGGUUGAUAUCCUUUAUUACCAUAGCCGAGCAUACGCCACCGAACACAUGCUGGGGCAACGAACAGUCAGGACACUCCAGACAGACCCAACAAUACCGACAAAACUUAAAGGAUACAAUAAUGCCGAGCAGCCUUGUCGCGGACUAGCUGUGUAUCUCUGAGAGACGGCGGAGGGAAACGGCUGGGUAUCAUACCAUUUCCACCUUUAGAUUUGAGCCUGUCUCUCUCUCUGUUGUGUUUAUUUGGACAUGUCCUCGCUAAAUAUAGACGACGACGACCAGAGAUGGGUUCCUACACACGUCCAGGUCACCGUUCUGCGGGGAAAAGGUUUGCGGGCGAAGGGUAAACACGGUACCAGCGACGUCUACACCAUUAUCCAGGUGGGCAAGGAGAAAUACUCGACUUGUGUUCUGGAAAAGACCACUGCUCCCGAAUGGAAAGAGGAAUGUUGUUUCGAGUUAUUACCCGGUGUUCUGGAGCAGGUUGGGGACGGGGGCGCAUACCCACCCGGGAGCAGCGACUUGGUCCUCACGGUGAUGCACCGGGCGCUCAUGGGACUGGACGUGUUUCUGGGCCAAGCCGUCAUCCCCCUGGAUAAGGUGUUUCAGGACAGAAUAUGCAUGAAAAACGAGUGGUACAAGCUGAACUCCAAGACUGGGAAGAAAGAGAAGGAGCGAGGGGACAUCCAGGUGACGGUGCAGUUCACCAAGAACAACCUGACAGCCAGCAUGUACGACCUCUCCCUGGGUAAGGACAAGCCCCGGUCCACCUUCGGCAAGAUCAAGGACCGCAUCAAGGGCAAGAAGAGGAGCAGCAAGGACUCUGAUGAAGACUCUGCUUCCACUAUUGUGGGCGGCUACGGACCCGUUUCCCGCAUGAGGAACCGGUUGCCGAGCGAUGGCGGCGGGGAGGAAGACUAUGAGGACGAUGAAGGAGGGGAGGGGCGGAGGAGUAAGAUGAGGAACUUCUUCCUGCGAGGGAAACUGAGGAAGUCGUCCGAUACGAGGUCGAGCACGUCGCUAGGGUCGGAGAGUAGUGAGUCGUCGUCGAGGGGAGGGAGUCUCAGUCCCACCGCUGGGAUCUCUGUAGUGGUGUCUGACCUGUCUAACUCGCCUAGCAACAGCAGCAACUUCACAGCAGACAGCCCUGAUCAUACGGCAGAGUCGUCUCCCAAGCUGGCCUCCUAUACAUGCGAGUUCACUGACGAGUCUGGAGAGAUCAACAUCCCUGUGCCUCAGCCUGUCUGCAUCAAUGGAAGCCAUGUGUACAACACCAUCCUGGACCCUUGCCCGGGGAACCCCGUAGUACCCUUAGAUCCUCUAGCCCUGGUGAAGAAGAACCUUCCUCUUUCCCAAUCCCUCCAGAACCUCAGCCAGCGGAGAGAGGAGCUCCCUGUCCUCCUCCCUAAAGGUCCCGCUGCGGACGGCCGGCGCUGGUCUUUUGACAAGGCAGGGGAGGAGGAGAAGGUGGUCAUCGCAGCGGCCCUGGAGCAGGCUGGCCAGGGGAUGGGCGAGGGGGCCAGGGAGGAGUCAGACAGAGACAGCCAGGGGAGGAAACGGAGCAGGGACUGUCUGGAUGAGUCUGAACAGGCCUCGAACUCUGACUCUGGCCCAGGCGAGAAACACAAAGGAUGGUUUGGAUCAAAGGACAACCAUAACAAACCCAGCCCGGUGGUGUCACCUAGCUCAGGCCCUCACCUCACUCCCCAUACCCCUAGUCUCACCCCUCUUACCCCUGGUCUCACUCCCCAUACCCCUAGUCUCACCCCUCUUACCCCUGGUCUCACCCCCCAUACCCCUGGUCUGCUGUCCUGGGGCCCCCCUCACCUCCCUGUAGAUCCUAACUCACUGGGCACCUCACUCCGUCACACUAACCCCUUCAGCCCGUCUCCUCCCACAAUGUCUCCCUCCAACCCGUUCCUCUCUCUCCUCCAGUGUAACCCUUUCUAUGAGGAACUCUUAGCUGACCGAGCUCUAAACCUUAACUCUGCCCAGCCCCAUCUGCCCCCCUGUUGUUCUAGCUUCACCUCCCGUAUCUCAGUAGCACCGCAAACCUGGUCUACCAACCCUAACCCCGUACCCAUCCUGCCCCUAACACAAGACUGCACUAACACUGGUAUGAAGGAACAAAGACCCUUCCUAAAACCUCCUCCAGAAGAGAAGAGUGCCAACACUAAGGACAAAGAAGAAGAAGCAGCAACAGUCAAAACUAGCCAGAGAUCGCUCCCUCCGCUCCCGAAGACUGAGAGGAUGUCCUCUGCUGACACUCCCCUCUGUGAGGAAGACAUGUCCUACACUAAGGCUGAGAAGAUGUCCUCUGCUAACUCUCCCCUCUGUGAGGAAGACAUGUCCUACACUAAGGCUGAGAAGAUGUCCUCUGCUAACUCUCCCCUCUGUGAGGAAGACAUGUCCUACACUAAGGCUGAGACGAUGUCCUCUGCUAACACUCCCCUCUGUGAGGAAGACAUGUCCUACACUAAGGCUGAGAAGAUGUCCUCUGCUAACUCUCCCCUCUGUGAGGAAGACAUGUCCUACACUAAGGCUGAGAAGAUGUCCUCUGCUAACACUCCCCUCUGUGAGGAAGACAUGUCCUACACUAAGGCUGAGAAGAUGUCCUCUGCUGACACUCCCCUCUGUGAGGAAGACAUGUCCUACACUAAGGCUGAGAGGAUGUCCUCUGCUGACACUCCCCUCUGUGAGGAAGACAUGUCCUACACUAAGGCUGAGAAGAUGUCCUCUGCUGACACUCCCCUCUGUGAGGAAGACAUGUCCUACACUAAGGCUGAGACGAUGUCCUCUGCUGACACUCCCCUCUGUGAGGAAGACAUGUCCUACACUAAGGCUGAGAAGAUGUCCUCUGCUGACACUCCCCUCUGUGAGGAAGACAUGUCCUACACUAAGGCUGAGAAGAUGUCCUCUGCUGACACUCCCCUCUGUGAGGAAGACAUGUCCUACACUAAGGCUGAGAAGAUGUCCUCUGCUAACUCUCCCCUCUGUGAGGAAGACAUGUCCUACACUAAGGCUGAGACGAUGUCCUCUGCUAACACUCCCCUCUGUGAGGAAGACAUGUCCUACACUAAGGCUGAGACUGCAUCAUUCCACUCUGCCACUGGCUCAGACAACAUGGCUGCUUUAGACUUGAUGGGGGAGUUCUCUGACGAUCGAUGCUGGGCCGCUCUUGAUGAUGUCAUCCAGUCGGACACAUUAGAUCGAGCCACGUCCCACCUGGGAGCCAUGCGUGUUGAUAAAGAGAAGACCACUUCCUCUGAAGCAAGGAUAGACUGGCCAAUCGGCAUGGACUUAAAAUCAUAUAACUCAGCAGAACUUUCCGAUGCACUUCUACACUCUUUCAGCUCUCAAGCUCACAGUCCACUAAAAACAUUUCAGUCCAGUACUGGGACAUCUAGUGGUGAGAAGGUCAAUGAAGACAUUGAGGAUUACAAAUCAGAGGACCAAUACUCAGAACACCCUCGUGUGGAGUCCGUUGUAGUCCAACGGUCCCUCUCAGAGGGCACAAGUAUGAACAGCGUUGAGGACCUGACUCCAUCGUUCGGCAGCGACCCCGGCGUUGUAACCCUGGGGUCGUUGUCCUUUGUCCAGCAGCAUGACACUUCUGACCUCCUCGCAGCCUCCUCCUUCUUCUUCUCCGCUCCUUCCUCUCUAACUGCUGAAAGUAACACCUCUUCCUGUCCAGCUCUCUCCUCUCUCCCUGCCCCGCCCCCUGCUACUGUGAGGUCAUCGGUAAGCACUGUCUCGGCCGCACCCCUUUUCUCCACUGCGCAGCCAGUGAUUGGUGCGUCGCAUGCUGGCAUGCCCCAGGAGACGCAUCCGCCAGCCAAUCAGCAGAUCAGUCCUCACCCAGUGAAGCCCCUGACCCCAGAGGAGAGGAGGAGGGCGGAACUUUCCGAGGGGCGGUCGGUGCUGGACAAACUGAAGUCCUCCAUCCACCCUGGGUGGAGCAGCCAGCCCACCGAGCAGCAGCCUGAGAAGAAGAAGUCUCUGACUGAGGGAGCUGGGCCUUACUACCACCUGACCCACAGUGAGCUGGUCGCCCUCCUCCUCCAACGGGAGGCAGACCUACACCGGCAGAGGGCGGAGUUUGACCAACAGGGGGCGUUGCUAGCGAAGCGGGAGGCGGAGUUGAAGAAGAUGAAGCCCCAGGUUAGGGAUCUGGAGGACUACAUAGACACGCUGCUGGUUCGCAUUAUGGAGCAGACUCCCACCAUCCUGCAGGUCGGCACCAAGCUCAAGUGACCGAUUGAGGGACUGAUGGAAUGGGGGGUAAAUAGCACCUAGGGGGGGGGGGGGGUUGUGACGUUCCCAGGUUUUUCAGACAUCCUGGUUGGAAGAUUCCCGGAAUAUCAGGAGGGAAUAAGCAGGGAAUCCAGGAAUACUCUUAACUGGGAUUGCUGGAACACCUGAGAAUUUUGUUUGCCGCAAUUUUGCAACUCUGCUUGCACCUCUUUACUCUGACCUCCCUCCCCCCCUCCUCCAUAACAACCUCUACUCUGACCGCCCCCAUAACAACACAACAACAAUUAGCUGUCUUCUUUUUAGUCUGUUCACUGCUGUACUUCUGACAUAAUACUGUAGCUAGAGAACACAGCACUGACAAAAGGGGAUGGUUUGGAAUUGACUUCACUUGUAUCGGAACGUGCCGUCCCUGUUUCGAAGGGGUUUGGGUUGGAGCGGCGGUGGGUUUGGGUUGUGGUUUGUUUUCAGGUAUACCCAGUUGGUAUUGCGCUAAGAGACCAAAACCCAGAUCACUCCGAUACUGAAUGACUUCCUCUUUAUCACCUAGGUUACAUCCAAAAUGGCACCCUAGAUCCUGUGUAGUGCACUACUUUUGAUCAGGGACCAAAGGGAAAACCCAUAUAGGGCUCUGGUCAAUAGUAGUGCACUAUAUAGGGAAUAGGGUGCCAUUUGGAAUGCGGACCCAGUCACUUCACACAACCUAGACAUUUUUGCCCUGCAGACAAGUGCACCUACAACAGUUGUCGAGCUACAAACCAAAUGAGUGAUAGUUCCUAUCACUCAUGUGUUAUGGGGCUGUGUCCCUAAAAGUAGUGCACUAUGUAGGGAAUAGGUUGCCAUUUAGGAUGCAAAAAUGAUGUGCAAAUGAAAUGGAAUGGGAAGUGGUUUUAGGUUCAAAAGUGUUCUUACAAAAACAAACAGGUGAAUAGUUUGAUCUUUGACGCGAAGUUCAGCUUGAUAUGCUUUUUUCUUUCAUUUCUUACGUAUUACAGACAGACAGACAGACAGACAGACAGACAGACAGACAGACAGACAGACAGACAGACAGACAGACAGACAGACAGACAGACAGACAGACAGACAGACAGACAGACAGACAGACAGACAGACAGAAUGUGUUGAUACCAUCAAGAUAAGUACUGUAGGUCUCAAUGUUAGGCCUAUUACCAGGCUAGAUACUGUACUGUUUCAGAUGAUACUACCAGGCUAAGAAAUUGAGUGGUGUGUGUAGUGCAGAUAGACAUGGACAGAAUGUAUUGAUACGAUCAGGUUAAGUAUUGUACUGUUUCAGAUAGUGUGGCAAAAAUUCUGAUCGCGUUUUCCAGAAAUCCAGGUUGGAAUAUUCCGGGAUUCGCGAAGGGAAUAAGUAGGAAAUCUGGAAUCCUCCAACAAGGACUUGUGGAAAAUAAUAAAAAUUAUUUUGUUGGGAACCCCUAGAUUCAGAUAUUACGAUCAGGAAAAGUAUUGUACUGUUUCAGAUGUAUUGUUAAUACCAGGCUAUGUUCUGUACAGUUUCAGAUGUAUUGUUAAUACCAGGCUAUGUUCUGUACAGUUUCAGAUGUAUUGUUAAUACCAGGCUAUGUUCUGUACUGUUUCAGAUGUAUUGUUAAUACCAGGCUAAGAACGGUCUGGGUGACACUGCUUCUCCAACAUGCUUCGUCCUUCCUUCCACUGUGCAUUAUUAAAUCGACACGGUUUAUAAUAGAGACAAAAUAAUGCAUAGAAACAUGAUUUAUUAUAGCAACAAUACAAUGCAUAGACACAUGCUGGUACUUGACUCCCCUCUGUCUGUCUCUGCCCCUGUAUGUCCCCCCUCAUUCCCUGCGCUUGAGCUAAAGCAUGCUAAUAAUAAUGCUGUCAGGUGUGUUACUAAAGGGAUAUAUAACGUAUCUACAGUGUAUAUGCCAUAUUGAAAUGCCAAAUGCUGCCUUAUUGUUUUUCCUUAAUGUUCCAGUUCACAGUUUGGUUCCAGAAUAGCACUUCAUUUCACCUAAAGGAGAUUGGGACACAUAAAGAAAAAGUCAAGCCAUUAUCCCGUGACUGUUUAUUUGUCACAGGACACAACGCUUUGCUUUGUUGCAAUGUUAUUUAUUUAGUUGUUUUAGUUCAUCACACAAGAAGAAACCCCAUUGUGUGCAUACUAACAGGUUAUGGGCAGAAACCCCAUUGUGUGCAUACUAACAGGUUAUGAGCAGAAGAAACCCCAUUGUGUGCAUACUAACAGGUUAUGGGCAGAAACCCCAUUGUGUGCAUACUAAGAGGUUAUGGGCAGAAGAAACCCCAUUGUGUGCAUACUAACAGGUUAUGGGCAGAAACCCCAUUGUGUGCAUACUAACAGGUUAUGAGCAGAAGAAACCCCAUUGUGUGCAUACUAAGAGGUUAUGGGCAGAAACCCCAUUGUGUGCAUACUAAGAGGUUAUGAGCAGAAGAAACCCCAUUGUGUGCAUACUAAGAGGUUAUGAGCAGAAGAAUCCCCAUUGUGUGCAUACUAAGAGGUUAUGGCAGAAGAAACCCCAUUGUGUGCAUACUAACAGGUUAUGAGCAGAAGAAACCCCAUUGUGUGCAUACUAAGAGGUUAUGAGCAGAAGAAACCCCAUUGUGUGCAUACUAACAGGUUAUGGACAGAAACCCCAUUGUGUGCAUACUAAGAGGUUAUGGGCAGAAACCCCAAUGUGUGCAUACUAAGAGUUUAUGGGCAGAAACCCCAUUGUGUGCAUACUAAGAGGUUAUGAGCAGAAGAAACCCCAUUGUGUGCAUACUAAGAGGUUAUGAGCAGAAGAAACCCCAUUGUGUGCAUACUAACAGGUUAUGGACAGAAACCCCAUUGUGUGCAUACUAAGAGUUUAUGGGCAGAAACCCCAUUGUGUGCAUACUAAGAGGUUAUGGGCAGAAACCCCAUUGUGUGCAUACUAAGAGGUUAUGAGCAGAAGAAUCCCCAUUGUGUGCAUACUUAGAGGUUAUGAGCAGAAGAAACCCCAUUGUGUGCAUACUAACAGGUUAUGAGCAGAAACCCCAUUGUGUGCAUACUAAGAGGUUAUGGGCAGAAACCCCAUUGUGUGCAUACUAAGAGGUUAUGGACAGAAACCCCAUUGUGUGCAUACUAAGAGGUUAUGGGCAGAAACCCCAUUGUGUGCAUACUAAGAGGUUAUGGGCAGAAACCCCAUUGUGUGCAUACUAAGAGGUUAUGAGCAGAAACCCCAUUGUGUGCAUACUAAGAGGUUAUGAGCAGAAGAAACCCCAUUGUGUGCAUACUAAGAGGUUAUGGGCAGAAACCCCAUUGUGUGCAUACUAAGAGGUUAUGGGCAGAAACCCCAUUGUGUGCAUACUAACAGGUUAUGGGCAGAAACCCCAUUGUGUGCAUACUAAGAGGUUAUGGGCAGAAACCCCAUUGUGUGCAUACUAAGAGGUUAUGGGCAGAAACCCCAUUGUGUGCAUACUAAGAGGUUAUGGGCAGAAACCCCAUUGUGUGCAUACUAAGAGGUUAUGAGCAGAAACCCCAUUGUGUGCAUACUAAGAGGUUAUGAGCAGAAACCCCAUUGUGUGCAUACUAAGAGGUUAUGAGCAGAAACCCCAUUGUGUGCAUACUAAGAGGUUAUGAGCAGUGUGGAAUGCCAAAAAGCCAAACCUUGAUACCUAAUGAACAUAUGGAGGUUUGAUUCACUGUAAUUAUUGAAUUAUGACACCACUGUUGCUAAAUGUGUUCCAGUCUGUUGAGCUGUCAUUCCCUUUCCAUUGUCAUAGUGGAAUGUUAGCACAAACGGACUGGAUUUCUCCAGGCUAAACUGUUACAGCAUUUCUAGAUGUUCUUGCACUACCUUCCUCUUCACAAGCGUGGAAAUAUAAUGAUGGUCAGAACAUACAGUGCCUUCGGAAAGUAUUUAACCACCUUGACUUGUUCUACAUUUUGUUGUGUUACAAAGUGGGAUUAAAAUGGAUUUGUCAUUUUUUGUCAACAAUCUAUACAAAGUUCCCUGUUAAAGUGGAAGAAUAAAACACCAAUAUAUCUUGAUUAGUUAAGUGUUCAACCCCCUGAGUCAAUACCUGUUAGAAUCACCUUUAGCAGCGACUACAGCUGUGAGUCUUUCUGAGUCUCUCUAAAAGCCUUGUGUUCUAGGUUAUUGUCCUGCUGAAAGGUGAAUUAAUCUCCCCGUGUCUGUUGGAAAGCAGACUGAACCGGGUUUUCCUCUAAGAUUUUGCCUGUGUUUUAGCUCUAUUCUGUACAUUUUUAUCCUGAAAAACUCCCCAGUCCUUAUCGAUGACAAGCAUACCCAUAACAAGAUGCAGACAGCACUUUGCUUGAAAAUAUAAAGAUUGGGACUCAGUAACGCUUUUUAUU